GAUGAACGCUGGCGGCGUGCCUAAUACAUGCAAGUCGAGCGAACGGACGAGAAGCUUGCUUCUCUGAUGUUAGCGGCGGACGGGUGAGUAACACGUGGAUAACCUACCUAUAAGACUGGGAUAACUUCGGGAAACCGGAGCUAAUACCGGAUAAUAUUUUGAACCGCAUGGUUCAAAAGUGAAAGACGGUCUUGCUGUCACUUAUAGAUGGAUCCGCGCUGCAUUAGCUAGUUGGUAAGGUAACGGCUUACCAAGGCAAGGAUGCAUAGCCGACCUGAGAGGGUGAUCGGCCACACUGGAACUGAGACACGGUCCAGACUCCUACGGGAGGCAGCAGUAGGGAAUCUUCCGCAAUGGGCGAAAGCCUGACGGAGCAACGCCGCGUGAGUGAUGAAGGUCUUCGGAUCGUAAAACUCUGUUAUUAGGGAAGAACAUAUGUGUAAGUAACUGUGCACAUCUUGACGGUACCUAAUCAGAAAGCCACGGCUAACUACGUG
rnacentral:rRNA from 1 species